AUUUCUUUUUAUAUAGUUUAAAUACAUUACAUCUUCACUGUAAAAAUAAAAUAUAUUUUAUAA
rnacentral:tRNA from 1 species